rnacentral:pre_miRNA from 11 species
CCCCUAGGACCUGGCAAAGGCCCCUCUCUGCGUGUUCACAGCGGACCUUGAUUUAAAUGUCCAUACAAUUAAGGCACGCGGUGAAUGCUAAGAACGAGGCUGGAAGAGCUUCAACCCAGG